rfam:Kiritimatiella glycovorans strain L21-Fru-AB chromosome, complete genome.
UCCGGUGACCAAAGCGGGGAGGAAACACCCGUUCACAUUCCGAACACGGAAGUUAAGCUCCCCAGCGGCGAUGGUACUGAGGAACAGACCUCGGGAGAGUAGCACGUUGCCGGGC